rnacentral:rRNA from 1 species
UACAGAGGUCUCAAGCGUUGCUCGGAUUCAUUGGGCGUAAAGGGUGCGUAGGUGGCGCCGUAAGUCGGGUGUGAAAUUUCGGAGCUUAACUCCGAAACUGCAUUCGAUACUGCCGUGCUUGAGGACUGGAGAGGAGACUGGAAUUUACGGUGUAGCGGUGAAAUGCGUAGAUAUCGUAAGGAAGACCAGUGGCGAAGGCGGGUCUCUGGACAGUUCCUGACGCUGAGGCACGAAGGUCAGGGGAGCAAACGGG